UGGAUGGCGUGCACGGAAUUGGUUGUCGGUAUUAAAUCCUUCCACCACUUGGUUCAUACACUACAUAUUGAGUAAUGAUCGAGAGAAACACGAAGCAAAGAUGACCUUCAUCCACCGUCACCAGAAGACGUCUUGUCGAACCGUACGGAGGGUUAAAAACGUAUUAAAUCAUUCCAUCGUCCGACUCCAUCGCAGGCUAUACGUCACGGUGACUAUCGCCAUCUCUACCCCCUCGCGUCCCUCAAGUACACCCCGCCAUCGUUCUCGGCAUGCUGGCCGUUAUUGAUGAGGUGAUGGACCUGUAGGGUAUUAUACAUCAGCGGCUGGCAUGGUCGCCAGGCGUGGGCCUCACGCCAACGUUGUACCCCUCCCAAUGACUACCCCCAACCCCAAUAACCCAUCCCAUCCCUGCUGAUCCCUGUCUGGGCUUUAGACGAGCCAGCCAGGGCCCUCUCCUGCAUGUUAACAAGGCGCUAGUCCGGUCCAAGUUUCAGGAUCUGUGCCUCUAUGCUAAUUCAUGCAAAGCAGUGGCCACCCUCAAUGCCCCCCACUUAGUUCACCCACCCCGCCCGCUCCCAUCCCUGAUCCAGGCCAUGCUAGUCUGGCCUGUAUUAACCCGUCCGUGCCACCACUGUCCAGCUUCCCAGUGUCCUACAGCUAACCCAGGGCCCACCCCGAGAGGUUUGCGAGGUUCAUCGCAGUGAGACACAUACUAAAAAUAUGUACAUCGGGUUCAAUAUUGUGCAAUAAGUACUUGAAAUGCAGGACUGGUAGUUGGUGGUUAAUAUUUAGUCGAACUAGGCAGGCGUAACAACUUUGAGUGGGUUAUUUUGUAUCCUCUUUGCACCACGAUGGACCUUGUUCUCCGUGAGGAUCCAGGACACGGCCCCCGGAAGUCGUACAACAGGUAGACGUUAUAGUGUUCGAAAAUAGACUUAAAAUGGCUGACACGUUAGGCGCCAUUUUGUGGUUCCUUGUUUUGUUUAGGGUGCAGAAUCCCAGCUUUGUAUUCAAUCAGAAGCAGCUGGUGGCAACCGUAUUUGCAGGCAUGUGUGUGUGUGUGUGUGUGUGUGUGUGUGUGUGUGUGUGUGUGUGUGUGUGUGUUCAGAGAGGCAGCAACUAGCCUACCCAGUGGCUACCCCACUGGAAUGAGCUCAGCUUUUUCGGCAAAAGAAACAGAAAUACAUUUCUGGCACAAAGACGGGUGCCAUUUCUAUUUCUUUCGAUCACAUGCAGGAAUUGCAGGAAGACAGUGAGGUAUUUUUGAUGGGCUUUCGUUUCGUUACUCUAUUACUAUUUUGUCUGUAAAAUAUUGCGGUGGGUUGCAUUCUGUUGCAUCAUACACUGUGGCUGGCUUGUGGGCAUGACGCGAUCGAUAUUUCUUAAAAACUCGGCAGGUAGAGGCAUGCUGUGGUUCAAUGUAAAAAUGUUCACAGGAUGGACAUGUAUGGUGAGCUAUUCCACAAAGCCAUCAUAGGAAUAUGAAAAAGGAGAAAAUGUGGAAGAUCAAACAUAGCUUUCAAUAUUAGAAUUGUAAAUCAUUUAUUUAUUUACUUUGUCUUAACUUCACCAGUGACCACUGAUAUGGACCCUCGUUAAAUACAUUCAUAAUUAUAAAUGACAUUAUUGCAUAGCAAAAGCAAAUCAGAUCGAUAAAACCGUUUUUUUGUCUCUUUUUCUCUGUAUCAUUACAGGAAUCUCAUCUGUGAGGAUCCUGGAUGUUGCAACACAAGAAUGCUGUCCUUGGGGCUGAGGUAGUAGAUUGAAUAGUUGUGGGGUUGUGCACCCCAAUCUGAGAUAACUAUACAAUCUACUGUCUUUCCUAAGGAGACAGCCAGGUCAGCCAAUCCGCAGCAGCCGUCUCUGAGGCAGCAUUACAGCCGCCAUAUCAAAUCAUCUCCUUUCUUUACCCUCCCAUGUCUUCGUCCAGAAACAGGCCGACUGUGGCUGGGUCGAGGCGGGGUCGUGCUCAGGUUCCUAUGUGUUCUGUCGGGGUGAGGUAGUAGGUUGUAUAGUUUGGUGGGAGGGAUCAGCCCUGCUCAGGUGAUAACUAUACAGUCUAUUGCCUUCCCUGAGGACCACGCUAAACGCAUACAAAGGACCAUCAACAGAAGAACGUCAUUGUUUCAAUGUCAACGUAUCAUUUAGGAAAAUUGAAAAUGUUUGUUCAGAACAAGAUUGUUUCGUAAGUGCUUUGUUUCAUAAGAGUUAUGCUUGUCAUUCUAAAUGUUUUAUAGUUCAAAAGCUGAGGUUUUUCAUUUGAUUGUACUUUAUCUGUGACUAGUUUAAGGCGUGACAAAUUGUUUUUUAAUUUAUUGAUGGAAAUAAACUAUGAAGCCUUGAUUAAUAAAGUUUGACGGAUGACAUAUAGAAA